CAUCUUGAGGGUAAGAUGUCGUUGUUUGAAAUGCUAGAGCACUAUGAGCGUUGCCUUGCAUCGCGACGGAUUAACGAAGCUCUCCAUGACAUCGAAGCCUUGCAGUCCGUUCCAUUUACAGAGGAAAAUGCUUCGCCGCUUGAGAAACACGCCGCAACAGUUUUCACACCUAGUGUCUUUAAGAUGGUCUUAUGGAGCAUAGAUGCUGUCAGCAAAUGUCAGAUCAGAGAGAUACUAGAUGGAUCAGAAGAUUCCACUUAUGUUGUGUCCAAGCAGGAAAGAAUGGAUAAAAAGUUUGGAGUGCGCAUUGAAGAGCAAGGAGGUCUUUUGCACAGGGUGAGUUGUUCUUGCCGUAAGCUGGAAUGCGCAGACACAUCAUGUUCCCACAUUUUUUUACAUAUUGGGGAUUUUAAAACAAACAAUUCUGCUAGGUUGUUGCGUUCCCACUAG
rnacentral:rRNA from 1 species